GGAGGAAGGUGGGGAUGACGUCAAAUCAUCAUGGCCCUUACGGGUUGGGCUACACACGUGCUACAAUGGCGGUGACAAUGGGCAGCGAAGGGGCGACCUGGAGCGAAUCCCCAAAAGCCGUCUCAGUUCGGAUCGCACUCUGCAACUCGAGUGCGUGAAGGUGGAAUCGCUAGUAAUCGUGGAUCAGCAUGCCACGGUGAAUACGUUCCCGGGCCUUGUACACACCGCCCG
rnacentral:rRNA from 1 species